rnacentral:rRNA from 1 species
UACGUAGGGGGCAAGCGUUGUCCGGAAUUAUUGGGCGUAAAGAGCGCGUAGGCGGUCCGAUAAGUCGACUGUGAAAGUCCAGGGCUCAACCCUGGAAAGCCGGUCGAUACUGUCGGACUAGAGUCCGGAAGAGGCAAGUGGAAUUCCCGGUGUAGCGGUGAAAUGCGCAGAUAUCGGGAGGAACACCGGUGGCGAAGGCGGCGAUCUGGGUAGAUACUGACGCUGAGGUGCGAAAGCGUGGGGAGCAAACAGG